rnacentral:misc_RNA from 1 species
UCCGGUUUGUCACCGGCAGUCUGAAGUGAGUCCCCAACUUAAUGCUGGCAACAUACGACGGGGGUUGCGCUCGUUGCGGGACUUAACCCAACAUCUCACGACACGAGCUGACGACAACCAUGCAGCACCUGUGCUGGCUCCCGAAGGUCGGUCGGGUUUCCCCUCCCUACCACCAGCAUGUCAAACCCAGGUAAGGUUCUUCGCGUACCAUCGAAUUAAACCACACGCUCCGCUGCUUGUGCGGGCCCCCGUCAAUUCCUUUGAGUUUUAGCCUUGCGGCCGUACUCCCCAGGCGGUGUGCUUAUCGUGUUAACUAAGGCGCGCACGCAAUUAAGCGCACACACCGAGCACACAGCGUUUACAGCGUGGACUAC